rnacentral:rRNA from 1 species
ACGAACGCUGGCGGCGUGCUUAACACAUGCAAGUCGAACGGAAAGGCCCUGCUUUUGUGAGGUGCUCGAGUGGCGAACGGGUGAGUAACACGUGAGUAACCUGCCCUUGACUUUGGGAUAACUUCAGGAAACUGGGGCUAAUACCGGAUAGGAGCUCCUGCUGCAUGGUGGGGGUUGGAAAGUUUCGGCGGUUGGGGAUGGACUCGCGGCUUAUCAGCUUGUUGGUGGGGUAGUGGCUUACCAAGGCUUUGACGGGUAGCCGGCCUGAGAGGGUGACCGGCCACAUUGGGACUGAGAUACGGCCCAGACUCCUACGGGAGGCAGCAGUGGGGAAUAUUGCACAAUGGGCGGAAGCCUGAUGCAGCAACGCCGCGUGCGGGAUGACGGCCUUCGGGUUGUAAACCGCUUUCGCCUGUGACGAAGCGUGAGUGACGGUAAUGGGUAAAGAAGCACCGGCUAACUACGUG